ACAAGCAUGUAAUCACAUAAAGUAAAAAUAAAAAGCCUUUCUCUCCCACUUGCAUACACUCACACAUACAACUAUCGUUCUGAUUAAGGAUGAUUGAUUUAACAGUACAACAUGUAAAUGAAAAAUGAAAUACAGAUAAAAAUACAGACACAAAUGUAUUUUUAUUUUUUAUGAGGAGAGUCAGUUGCCUACAUUGUAUAUGUGGAACGAAGGAUAACUCUUACUGCCCAGAAAAGAAAAAGAAAAAAACAAUUCAAGUAUAAUGUGACAAUGAACUGGUGAAGACUAUAAAUAAGUUUUAUAAGUUUCAGUUAAGC
rnacentral:lncRNA from 1 species